AUGAACGCUGGCGGCGUGCCUAACACAUGCAAGUCGAACGAAGCUUGACGGAUGAUUUCCUCGGAAUGAAACCAGAUAUGACUUAGUGGCGGACGGGUGAGUAACACGUGAGCAACCUGCCUUUCAGAGGGGGAUAACGGCUGGAAACGGUCGCUAAUACCGCAUGAUGUGUUCGGAUGGCAUCAUCUGAACAUCAAAGAUUUAUCGCUGAAAGAUGGGCUCGCGUCUGAUUAGAUAGUUGGUGGGGUAACGGCCUACCAAGUCUACGAUCAGUAGCCGGACUGAGAGGUUGAACGGCCACAUUGGGACUGAGAUACGGCCCAGACUCCUACGGGAGGCAGCAGUGGGGAAUAUUGCACAAUGGGGGAAACCCUGAUGCAGCAACGCCGCGUGAAGGAUGACGGUUUUCGGAUUGUAAACUUCUUUUCUUAGUGACGAAGACAGUGACGGUAGCUAAGGAAUAAGCAUCGGCUAACUACGUGCCAGCAGCCGCGGUAAUACGUAGGAUGCAAGCGUUAUCCGGAUUUACUGGGUGUAAAGGGAGCGCAGGCGGGACUGCAAGUUGGAUGUGAAAUACCGUGGCUUAACCACGGAACUGCAUCCAAAACUGUAGUUCUUGAGUGAAGUAGAGGCAAGCGGAAUUCCGAGUGUAGCGGUGAAAUGCGUAGAUAUUCGGAGGAACACCAGUGGCGAAGGCGGCUUGCUGGGCUUUAACUGACGCUGAGGCUCGAAAGUGUGGGGAGCAAACAGGAUUAGAUACCCUGGUAGUCCACACUGUAAACGAUGAUAGCUAGGUGUGGGGGGUCUGACCCCUUCCGUGCCGGAGUUAACGCAAUAAGCUAUCCACCUGGGGAGUACGACCGCAAGGUUGAAACUCAAAGGAAUUGACGG
rnacentral:rRNA from 1 species